rnacentral:lncRNA from 1 species
CAUGGUUUGCAUUCUAUUAUGUACUUUACAUGGCCAGAGAAAACCAGAGUAGCAAAGAAUACUGAGUGAGCCUACAUCCACAUUGUUUGAUUUUAUUGCUAAUUAUCUCUAUGGUUUCUCCUUAAAAAGUUCAUAGCAUAAUGCGCUGCGUUUAUUUGUUUGCUUGCAGGCCUGAAAGAGGUUACUGAUUUGGUCAAGUAUGCAGAUCGUGGCAGGGAUAUAGGACUAUAGAUUAAGCAUGAGUAAGUUUAUUAAAAACUAUAGCAUUUUCAAGAUUUAAAUUAGGUAUAUUUUGGCCUCUCCCAGUAUAUUAUUUUACUAUUUUGACAUAUCAGCAUAAUUCCUAAGCUUCCACUUAAAUAAUUAUGUUCACGCACUACUUUUUUCCCUAUAAGAUUCAUGUGCAACAAAUUAGUAGAUGUAACUAUGUACAGUAUUCGUGUAACUGAGAUACAGUUUG